rnacentral:rRNA from 1 species
CAGUAGCCGCGGGAAUACGUAGGUGGCAAGCGUUGUCCGGAAUUAUUGGGCGUAAAGGGCUCGCAGGCGGUUUCUUAAGUCUGAUGUGAAAGCCCCCGGCUCAACCGGGGAGGGUCAUUGGAAACUGGGAAACUUGAGUGCAGAAGAGGAGAGUGGAAUUCCACGUGUAGCGGUGAAAUGCGUAGGGAUGUGGAGGAACACCAGUGGCGAAGGCGACUCUCUGGUCUGUAACUGACGCUGAGGAGCGAAAGCGUGGGGAGCGAACAGGAUUAGAUACCCCUGUAGUCCCUGUCUCUUAUAC